UACGGAGGGUGCAAGCGUUGCUCGGAAUUAUUGGGCGUAAAGGGUAGGUAGGUGGUCUUAUUUGUCUGGGGUGAAAGUCUUGAGCUUAACUCAAGAAGUGCCCCAGAAACGGUAAGACUAGAGUCCUAGAGAGGGUCGUGGAAUUCCCGGUGUAGCGGUGAAAUGCGUAGAGAUCGGGAGGAACACCAGAGGCGAAGGCGGCGACCUGGAUAGGUACUGACACUCAACUACGAAAGCGUGGGGAGCAAACAGG
rnacentral:rRNA from 1 species